AAAGAUUCAGUUAAACAGUGAAAAAGGGUUCAAUAAUCUGAUAGUGAAAAACAAUAAAAUAUGUUCUUUCUCCACAAUUCAUUUCAUUUCAAUCCUCAAAAUGGGGUCGAAGAUUUGCGGAUCUGUUUUUCAACUCUAUCCGAUUUCCAAAAGCUUUUGCAGUGUCGAUGGAACUUGGAGCAGGUUAAAAUAGGUUACUCCUUUUCGUUUCAAAGUACUGUUUGAGGAUUUAGACCUUUGUCUGAAGGCUAAUGGCUCGGAGUUCACAAGUACCAAAAUUUGGUAAGUGGGAUGAUGGGGAUGAUGUCCCGUAUACGACCUAUUUUGACAAUGCGACAAAGGCUAAAUUCGAGAGGAUGAAUCCAAAUGAUUCUCUUCCUCACCGUGAGGAGAUUUCAAACACAGUGAGGUCAAACUAUGAGCAACACAAAAUCAAAGAGGGUGGUGUUGUGAGGAGGCAACCUGAAUCUCCAUUACACCAUGAUGCUCCGGAAUUGUCUGGUCGGGAUUAUAAUGGUAUAAAGUCCGCAAAGAGUCGGGGUCAACAAGUAUCAAGGCCAAAGCACACACAAGAAGAUUUGGGCUUGGAAGAUAGCAAUAUGAAGAAACAACUUGAUUCCCCUUUGGACCAUCGAUCAAUGGGUCAAGUUAGCUUGAACUCGCCUCUUCAUCAACGUCAAGGUAACCACAGCUCGACCAGUAAUUCAUCGAAAGGGACUAUGAGAAAUGGCACAGUUUCUGAAUGCAGCAUAGAAAAUUCACCUCUUCAUUCGCGACAGCAUCCAAGGACUGAAGCAAAAACUGUUGUACCAUCUUCACCGUUACGGGAAAGAAGAGGCUCAAGUUCGCCUAGAGGAAGUAGUCAUGAAGGUUUAGCUCCCUUAACUCCUGGAAGAUCACGUCAACAAUCUGUUCCUCGGGGCAAUGAAACCGUAGCACCUUUCCUCAUUUCCUUUCAUUCACCCUGAUCGUGGUGCCACAGUCCCAAAAUUUGGUGACUGGGACGAAAGCGAUCCAUCGUCAUCUGAGAACUACACUAAUAUUUUCACCAGAGUGCGCGUGGAGAGACAAACGGAAGACGGAAGUUUGCCAGCUGGGACCAAUGUUUCUAGUAUUCGUAGUCGUUCUAGUGCCGAAAACUCAAAGAGAUGUUGCUGUUUUCCAUGGGGAAAAUGACUUGCAAGAAGGCAUAGAAUAUGUUUUUUGCUUUUUCUAGAUGGAAUGGCCAUGGUGGGAAUUUGUUGUUUUUAUUGGAAAUGUUUGAGUUUGGGCAGAGGCAUUUUUGGCCAACAGAUUAGUGGUAAAGCUUUUGUUUUUGGGCAUAUUAUGGUUCGCCACGUUCUCUUUUUGACUUUAAUACAUUCAAAACAUUUAUUACUGCUAAUGCAUAUAUUAUUUCAAAUAUUAUUCAUUCAAGUGAUUGAGUUCCUUCA